AUGUGUUCACGAGUUUUUCCUUGGCUGAGAAGCCUGGGCAAUCUUUUGAACUCGCAUCGUGAUAGGGAUAGAUUAUUGCAAUUAUUGAUCUUGAACGAGGAAUUCCUAGUAGACGCAGAUCAUCAAUCUGCGUCGAUUACGU
rnacentral:rRNA from 1 species